UAUGGCUAUAUCAUGUUGAAACACCAGUUCCCAUACAAUCACUGAAGUUAAGCAAUUUCAAGCUUGAUCAGUACCUAGAUGGGUGACUGCUUGGGGGAUAUCAGGUGCUGUA